CACGAAGAAUCGGAGACACACAUCAACUUCUUGGAACUGAUAUCGGGCUCCUUUGCCAUCCGGAGCUUGGCCAAGCACAUGUUUAAUUGUUGUAUUCUAGUGCCCAUGGACAACGUGUCAUCGGUACAGUAUAUCAAUCGCCUGGGAUCCAGGACACUCUCGGAGACGACCAAAGACAUUUUACCUUUUGCCUCUCCAGAAACAUUACAGUCAGAGCAGAAUACCUG